rnacentral:rRNA from 1 species
GGUACACGCUGUGACUAGCAUAUCAAUAAGCGGAGGAAAAGAAACUAACAAGGAUUCCCCUAGUAACGGCGAGUGAAGCGGGAAGAGCUCAAAUUUGAAAUCUUAAAGGGUUUCCCUUUACGAAUUGUAGUUUAAAGAAGUGUUUUCUGUUGAGGUUUUGGUAAAAGUUCUUUGGAAUAGGACAUCAUAGAGGGUGAGAAUCCCGUAUUUGACCUUUACUUUCAACUUUGUGAUACACUUUCAAAGAGUCGGAUUGUUUGGGAAUGCAGUCCAAAAUGGGUGGUAAAUUUCAUCUAAAGCUAAAUAUUGGCGAGAGACCGAUAGCGAACAAGUACCGUGAGGGAAAGAUGAAAAGAACUUUGAAAAGAGAGUUAAACAGUACGUGAAAUUGUCAAAAGGGAAGCGUUUGACACCAGUGUUGUUUUUCUGAAAAUCAAUUAAAGAACUGUUUAUGCUAAGUUGUUUAGACUUUAUCAGCUAUCUGUUUAGUUUUGAGCUUUUCUUUAAUGCACUUUUCAGUUAACAAGUCAACAUCAAUUUCUUUUGCUGUAAAAAAGCUUGAGGAAGGUGGCUUGAGAUUCGUCUUAAGUGUUUAUAGCCUCUUGCCUAUGCAGUCGGAGAGAUUGAGGUCUGCAGCGUAGAUCCUUCGGGGCUAAAUGCAUUUGUGCUAAGUUAUAGCAUUUUAUAGACAACUUGUUGACUAUGAUUUGUCUUGUAGCUUACUCGCUUAUGUUAUUUUACCUACGCUUAGGAUGUUGAAGUCAUCGUAUCGCGC